GUGGUUUAUACAUUAAUGGCAAAUUAUGAUGAUAUACAAAUCAUUCAUUUAACAGAAGAAAAAUUGUGUAAUGUCAUCUGUUGGAAUAUAUAUUAAGUAUUACACAUGGACAGGAUGAUCCACAUAAAAUUAAGGUAUUCCACACCCCCAGAGUACACGAAACUGUCAAAUAGAAAUUACUGCUUUACCUGUAAUAAGCCAUACAACUUAUCAAUUGACCGACCAUGCCACUACAAUUUAAAAAGUUUGUUCAAAGACGAAAAUGAAAAUCAUCAUUUUGAUGAAAAAAAUGAAUUGAAAAUUGAAUAUUUCCCAAAGAUUAAAAGAAAAGUAUUAUCUACCCCAGGAAUAAUAAAAAAAAAUGUAUUAUUUACCCCAGGAAUAAUAUAAAAAAUGUAUUUAUAAUGGGUCCAUUUUCUAUAGAAAUCAUUGGUCUUAUGAAAUGGAUCCCAAACAGACAUGCAUAAUAUAGAUCCUAACAUUUUUUUCUUUUCCGGAAGGUCCGUUAUCAAAAAUAUUUAUUUUUGUUAAAAAUUUAUAAAAUUCAACACUCAAAUUGGA
rnacentral:lncRNA from 1 species